GAUGAACGCUGGCGGCGUGCCUAAUACAUGCAAGUCGAGCGAACGGACGAGAAGCUUGCUUUUCUGAUGUUAGCGGCGGACGGGUGAGUAACACGUGGAUAACCUACCUAUAAGACUGUGAUAACUUCGGGAAACCGGAGCUAAUACCGGAUAAUAUUUUGAACCGCAUGGUUCAAAAGUGAAAGACGGUCUUGCUGUCACUUAUAGAUGGAUCCGCGCUGCAUUAGCUAGUUGGUAAGGUAACGGCUUACCAAGGCAGCGAUGCAUAGCCGACCUGAGAGGGUGGUCGGCCACACUGGAACGGAGACGCGGUCCAGACUCCUACGGGAGGCAGCAGUAGGGAAUCUUCCGCCAUGGGCGAAAGCCUGACGGAGCAACGCCGCGUGAGUGAUGAAGGUCCUCGGAUCGUAGAACUCUGUUAUUAGGGAAGAACAUAUGUGUAAGUAACUGUGCACAUCUUGACGGUACCUAAUCAGAAAGCCACGGCUAACUACGUG
rnacentral:rRNA from 1 species